GUAAACUAAUUAUAUUAGCCGUAGACAGAAGGCGUUCGACUCUAAGUAGUUGAACUUAAUCUCCUUCCGAGGUUCCAUACUUUUUCUGCAAAUUGGCAGGAAGGUCGACAGCGUCUCGCGGCUUUAUAAAAGCCGUUUUUAAUUAGGAUG
rfam:Candidatus Terrybacteria bacterium RIFCSPHIGHO2_01_FTLL_43_35 rifcsphigho2_01_scaffold_1973, whole genome shotgun sequence.